UAACCCUGACUGUUGUGUGACUAAACUCUCAGCUCUAACUUGAUGUGAACAUGGAAUAAUACAUUAAUUCCUUUUGCGCUGGCUUGGAAGAGAUGAUUUUAGUCUGUAUGCCUCUUCCUGGGUGGCAUUGGGUUGCUUUCACUCUGUUUCCCAUGUCUAGCUUCACCUGCCAUUAGAGAGCCCCCUCUCACAGGUUGUAACCAGUUCUUAUGUCCAUCUCGUCCAUCCAGUGACUCUGAGCUGAAAAGAGAACAAAGCCAGACCAAGAGCCACAAGACACCCGUGAAGGGUGCGCAGCUGUCUACUGAGACGAGUCCAGCCAACGGCAGCCCCUCUGAGGAGAAGGCGGUGCAAUCCAGCCGCAAGAAGCGGGGACAGCCAAGCAACAAGGAUGUGGCCCAGAUCGGCCCCAAGAGAAUCAGGAAGGCAACCAAGCGCGAGAUGCUCCUGUGCGACUUCGAGGGCUGCGGCAAGAUCUUCUCCAACCGCCAGUACCUGAAUGUGAG